CUUGCUGGGUUGGAUGAGUGGCGAACGGGUGAGUAACACGUGAGUAACCUGCCCCCUUCUUUGGGAUAACGGUCGGAAACGGCUGCUAAUACCGGGUAUUCACUGUCCUUCGCAUGGGGGGUGGUGGAAAGGUUUUUUCUGGUGGGGGAUGGGCUCGCGGCCUAUCAGCUUGUUGGUGGGGUGAUGGCUUACCAAGGCUUUGACGGGUAACCGGCCUGAGAGGGUGACCGGUCACAUUGGGACUGAGAUACGGCCCAGACUCCUACGGGAGGCAGCAGUGGGGAAUAUUGCACAAUGGGCGAAAGCCUGAUGCAGCGACGCCGCGUGAGGGAUGACGGCCUUCGGGUUGUAAACCUCUUUCGCUCAUGGUCAAGCCGCAACAGUGGUUGUGGUGAGGGUAGUGGGUAAAGAAGCACCGGCUAACUACGUGCCAGCAGCCGCGGUAAUACGUAGGGUGCGAGCGUUGUCCGGAAUUAUUGGGCGUAAAGGGCUUGUAGGCGGUUUGUCGCGUCUGCCGUGAAAUCCUCUGGCUUAACUGGGGGCGUGCGGUGGGUACGGGCAGGCUUGAGUGCGGUAGGGGAGACUGGAACUCCUGGUGUAGCGGUGGAAUGCGCAGAUAUCAGGA
rnacentral:rRNA from 1 species